CUAGUAAGAUGCCCGUGCUACGCUACGGGAUCAAAAAAGAUAAGAUGGACCUAAGUUAUAGUCAGGAACUCAUACAUUGAUUAAAGUAGUGAUAUAUUAUUAUUGAUAAAUAGACAUCGAGCACAAUCAAACAUAUGUUUUUUAAUCGAUGAACCCCUUCGUCAUGAAGCCAAACUCUUUCUUGUCCAUCUCCAUCUCGUAGGAAGACCCUUCUCCCUACUCAACUCUCUAAUUGCUCGCUCUAUCCUAUAUCAAGGGGAGAACAUGCGGUAAAUAUAAAAUUCGUCUACACACGUAGCAACUGUGACAACAUUCACCAGCUUUAUCUCUCCAUUUGACUGUCUUUGGCUUCUGUUUGCUUAACAUGGACUACAACUCCAGCCCGCACACAAUUAUCUGCUAGAAAUGGUAAACACAUUGAGCACCUCACAAACAUAUCACAUCCAGUAACAAGCCACGAUAACUCACAUGAGAAAAGAGAAAACAAUAAAAUAAAACACUUGGUGCAUAACUUGCAUACAUGAGUACAUACAAGUACAACCAAAAUAAUCGGGCUCCGUAAGCAAGAUUACUAUGGCAAAAUGAUGUGCCAUGUGUCAGCAUCCUUCAAACAGUGGCUUCGUCAAAUGCAAGCCCUGUGAACUCCUCUUUAGUUGUUUGCUCAAAACAUUUAUGCCAACCAUAUUAGUUUUGGGCCUCUCACAUCAUCCAUCUGCUCAUCUAAAAAGAAUAAAGGAUAUUAGACAAUCAAUACAGCAUACGUAACAGUCAGGUAUAUUCAGGGAAAGGAACAAAUAUUGAGCCUGUAGAUGGUUUGUAGUAUAUUUAGUCAAGGAAAAAACAAUGAAUAACACUUGCAAUACAUUUUGUACCAAGCAAAGGAACAAAAUGUACAGUAAAACAUGCUUUUGAAUCAUGUGUAUAUAUAGAAGGGGCGAAUGCACGUGCACAUAUUAUGCAUACAAAAACAUCAGUACUGGCCCUCUUUUCACUUUCUUGCAUCAACCAGGUUUCCACACAUACACAAAAAAAAAGAUGCCGAUAACAGACAGCAAGGAAAUAAAUAUUCGAGGUGUGAAUUGAAAUUUUUGAUGUGGAGCUACCAAGCAAAUGAGGGGCGUCGAUGAAAAACGGCCUGCUGUAGAUGUCAUCCAAAAUUAUUUGAACAGUGGAAGUAAUAAAGAAAACUACCAAAAACAAUUUGAAUACAUGUAUAAUAUUUUCUGCAAAAAAUAUCAUGAACGCUAAUGCAAGCAUCUUAGUUGUUUUUCUUAAAGUCCUCUACACAAACUUCAGAACCAUAAUAGCUGGGAAGCAAUUUUAGAUGAUUGACCCUAGUAAUCUAGAUAGAUUGAAUUUCUACAGCCACCGAAUUGUACUCGAGUGAUUUAUACCUUGAACUACACACUGAGAACUUCUUUGUAGACUAUGUUCUUUGUACAAUUUGCAUUGGAGUUGGUUUGGCCUUCCUUUUGCUUAUCUGGGACAGUAAGAAUCUUCAUAUUACUUCUUGAUGUAGCUCUAGAAAGAGCAACAUAGAGUUGCCCGUGUGAAAAUACCGGUUCAGGAAGGUAUACACCAACAUUUUGUAUAGUUUGUCCCUGUGCCUUGUUAAUGGUCAGAGCAAAGCUAAGCCUGACUGGAAACUGCUUCCUCUUGAACCUAAAUGGAAACAUCUCAUCAUCUGAUGGGCAAAGAGGAAUUCGAGGAAGGAACACCCUCUUACUAGCAUGAUGGCCCAGCACAAUCUCAGCAUCAAUUGCAUUCCUCAUGAACCCUCGGACAAUCAGCCUCGUCCCGUUGCACAACCCACUCACUGGGUCAAUGUUCCGUAACAAUAUAAUCUCUACUCCUAUAAAAUACCCAGUUGGUGGUAAUGAUGUGCCUGCCAUACCUGAUUUUCGAUCGUCAGAUGUGCAUCCAACGCAUGAGAGCUAACUAUGGUUUAUGUUUGUAAAAAAAACCUUAUUCUCUUCGUUCAGCUCCAGCCAUCCCCUCCUUAUCCAAAUCCUAUGAGCGAAGGCAUUGGAUCCUUCACGAAAACGAAAGAAAACAGUGGAACCAAAGAGGGCAGCGCCGCUGCCGCUCCACACACCGCCGGCGCCGCCGAUGCAGUCCGCUCCUAACACCCUCUUCCGCCUCCUCACUGCAGCAACAUCCCCAUCGCUCACUAUCCCCGAUUUCUCCCCCCGCCUGCCCCGUCUCCUCCGACGCCGACGUCGGCAAACACGCAGCCGCCGCCGCUCAUCCCCGGAGUCCGCGACGCCUCCCUUCCCUGGUACUCUGAGGUAGCAGCCCCUGCGCCCACCGAUUCCCCCUCCUCCCGGUUGUCUCCCCUACCCCAUCUACUCUGGCGCCGAUGUCGGCAAGUACGUCGCCGGCGCCGUCCGCGUCUGAUUCCGCGACCCCUCUCUUACCUUAUUCUCUGACGCAGCAGCCCAGCCGCCCACCAUCUCCCCAUCCUUCCCUGCAUCUCCUCCUUCCCCCACCCCAUCUCCUACGACGCCGACGUUGGCAAGUACGCCGCCGGCACGUUCCGUCCCCCGAGCUCGCGACGCCACUCCUGCGUCAUCCUCUGAUGCAGAAACCCGGCCGCCCACCACCUCCUCCUCCUGGCCGGCUCUUCAGCGACGCUGGCGCCAGCUUCCCUGCGACGCGCUCCAGGCCAUUCCCUUCGAGUACUUGCUGGUCCACACCCGUUUCCUCCAGUAAACUCUGUUUCAGAGACGGCUGGUCUGGUGUGAUGGUCGCCUCUGCUGUUGCCUCUCCUUCCUACCCGUCCCGCCUCCAAAUUUCAAAUUUCCUGUCACUCAAAGUUCAAAUCCGCGCGCCCAGUUCAAACUGUCCAGAAACCACUCCUGCAGCCCAAUAUAAAUAAGUGGGCAGGCAUAUGGGACUCUGGCUGCUCAAACUACACCCCCAAGAAGUCACACAUUGGUCACGCCAACCUUCAGAUCGAACGGAGUGUGAGGAAGUGUGAUUCACUGCUCUUCGUCAUCUAAUCUUCUUCGUCAAGGGCAAGGUAUGGGUUGUGAAUGAAUAUUAAAAUCUUCUCUAUGAUCUCAUCAACCAUUGCUUCAUCUUUGUUAUUAGACAACCCCGUCUGAAUACUGUAUCAGUAGCAGUUGGAGAAGUACUGAAUGAUACACAUCUUACAUAGCUGACUCCCAACAUCCUGGAUUAUUUAUAUCUAAUCUGACUGCAAUUUUUAUGCAUUUCAUAGCUUAUUUCCCGUCUGAAUACUGUAUCAGUAGCAGUUGGAAAAGUACUGAAUGAUACAAACUUUACAUAGCUGACUCCCAACAUCCUGGAUUAUUUAUAUCUAAUCUGAUUGCAUUUUUUAUGCAUUUCAUAGUUUAUAUUUCAUCUAACCAGUCUGCAUUUUGAAUGCAUUAUGUUGUAGCCAAGUCCAACAGAACUUGCUCCAGUGGCACGCCAAGUCCUCAUACAAGUAUAUUUAUGCGCGAGCCAAUAGAUAUGACAAGUUCAAGUCAGUCGUCUUUGGAUGAUGAAGUGACAAACGAAUCAUCUACGAUUUUUCCUACUAAUGGCAUGCUCAUAUCAACUGAGGGCUUGGAGCGAGGAGAAAGCUCAAAAGGUAAAUCUAUAAGGCGAAAUUCUAUGCAUAAGUAAUUUUAUUUAACUACUUAAUUAAUUUCUCAUAAAAAUGCUAUAGGACGAAAGCGUGUACGUGAAGCAAUAAGAUAUGCUAGCCGUACACCAGAACAAAUCCAAGCAAGGCGAGAACGUGUUAGAGCACGUCGGCAAAUUUUAACACCUGCUGAGAGGGAAAAGAUUAAUGCACAAAGAAGAGAGAAAAGACAACGAAUGGCACUUGAUGAGAGGAAUGCAAGCCAACGAGCACGUAGGCAAAGUUUGACAAUAGAUGAGAGGCAAGAAAUAAAUGCACGCCGGCGAGCACGUAGGCAAAGCCUACCACCUGAAGAGCGGCAAGCACUCCUAGCUCAAUGUAAUGCAAGCUACGCAUCUAAACGAGAUGCCCUCUGCAGGGAUUCUGUUGCACUACAGUGCCCUGCAGGUUCAUUGAUGGGACAUCCAUCAUCAAGUUCUUAUGUCUUUAGCCACCCAGGUAAGCUCGCACAAACUUCUGCUACAAUUCAAGGUAAUUCUCAAACACAUCUGUAUAUAUGUAACAACAUCGAUCUUCAAAUUACAUUUAGGAGAUGAUGAUACUACCCAGCACAUGGAACUCACAUCGGUGCAAUGUCCAACAUCUACAUCAGUGGACAAUCCAUCAUCACCCCAUGAUGGUUUCGUAUAUUCAGAUUCCCCAAUAGAAAGCUUUGUCGCCGAUGAUUAUGAUUCUCACAUGUCCGAAGAACAAGAUGAUGAGUACUUUGCAUUUGCUGGGAGAGGUAUUGCCAAUGCCAUGGAUACCUUAUUUCUCUACAUACAAAAAAAGCAAGACCUAUAUAACGCCAUUCAUCUCAUUAUAUGUAGGUGACGAUGAAGACUUUGUAGAUGCCUUUACAAUAGACACCAUUGUCCCUGACCUAUAUGAUCGUGUCUACCACAAUAUACCAGUAAGUACUCACAUGUUGACACCAAAACCUGAUUGCAAUCACUGUGGUGCUAAGAGAUUCCAGUAUGAAACAAGUGGAUUUUGUUGUCGGUCCGGAAAGAUUAACCUAGCACACUCAGAACCUCCCUUGGAACUUCAAAUGUUAUACAAAAGUUCAGAUCCCAAUGCCGUGCAUUUUAGGGAGAACAUUCGGUACUUUAAUGGACACUUCUCAUUCACCACCCUUGGAGUCAGUCUUGACAAUAGAUACACAAACAUGAGUUCAGGAGUGUAUACGUUCCGAGCUCACGGUCAGAUUUACCACAACGUCUUCUCAUUUGGUCCAACUCAAGAUGGACCUAAGCAUUUGGAGCUCUACUUCUAUGAUGAUGAUCCAAGUUUACAACAUAGGUUUCGGUGCUCCCCAAACCUAGACCGAGAUGUCAUUCGUAAGCUUGUCGACAUCCUCAAGGAUAAUCCUUAUUCUGAGACAUUCAUGAAUCUAGGUGGAGUCGAUGACCUUGAGGAAUACCGUAUUGAACUAAACACCGACAUGAGGUUGGACCAACGGAGAUAUAACUUGCCUAUAUCAUCGGAGGUUGCGGCUAUUUGGGUUGAGGGUAAUGAACUAUGUAAGCACUUUGAUCGUAGCAUAGUACUGUUUGGUAACGACAACAAGAGAUAUAGCAUCCAGCCAUAUUAUGGAUGCUAUGAUCCGUUGUCUUACCCUUUAUUCUUUCCAAGAGGGGAGAUUGGUUGGCAUCCCGAAAUCCCAAAGAAUGGCGUCAACUUGAAUGAGAUACUUCAAUCUCGUCGCAGUGGUCGACAUAGUCUAGGUAAUUCAUAUAACGGAAAUAGCAUGUGUUCAUUUUGUUUAUCCUCAUUGUACUUACUUUUCUAAAUAUUUCCUCUUGUUACCUCUCAUUUCCAUAGGUACAUAUACAAAUAGUCGAUUAUGCGUAUCUGUUAGAGACUACUAUUGCUACAAGUUUCAAAUACGUCGUGGUGUAUUUAACACUAUGCUAUACGGUAAACAACUGUGCCAACAGUAUGUGGUUGAUAUGUACAUCAAGGUUGAAAGCUCAAGAUUGGACUAUAUCAAAAAUCACCAGAAACAAAUACGUGCUGAUCUAUACCAAGGUGUUGUUGAUAGCCUUCAAGCUGGGGAAAACCGUGCGGAUGCAGUGGGCAAAUGGACUAUACUUCCUACAUCAUUUAUUGGGGGAAAAAGAGAUAGGAGACGAAGGUAUCUUGAUGCCAUGGCCUUGGUGCAAAAGUAUGGGAAACCAGAUAUAUUUUUAACCAUGACUUGCAAUCCGAAUUGGGGUGAGAUAAUUAGUGAGCUGGAGCCUGGACAAACCCCACAGGAUCGCCCUGAUCUUAUCGUACGAGUAUUUCGAGCAAAGUUGGAAGACCUCAAGAUACAACUUUUUAAGAAGCACAUGCUCGGUAAGGUAGCAGCAUAUGUGUAUGUCGUUGAGUUUCAGAAAAGAGGUCUACCACAUGCUCAUUUCCUCCUAAUCAUGGAGGGGAGGUACAAGCUAACUUGCCCAGAGCAAUAUGAUUGUCUAAUAUCUGCUGAAUUGCCAGACAAAUCCAAGUACCCAGAGUUGUACAAAAUGGUCGUCAAGCACAUGAUGCAUGGCCCGUGUGGAGUCCUCAACCCCAAGAACGUGUGCAUGCAAAAUGGUAGCUGCAAGAACUACUAUCCACGACCAUUUAAUGCGUCAACCCUUCAGGGAAAGGACUCAUAUCCCAUAUACCGGAGGAGAGAUGAUGGACGUCAUGCGAAGGUACGGGGUGAAGAUUUAGACAAUAGGUGGGUUGUUCCAUACAAUCCUUACCUACUAAGAAGGUAUAACUGCCACAUCAAUGUUGAGGUUUGCUCAAGCAUAAAAGCUGUGAAGUACCUCUUUAAAUACAUAUAUAAGGGGCAUGAUCAAGCAUCUGUUUCUAUCGACGCGGUGGAUAGUGACGGAAACAUUGAUGAAAUAAAGCAAUACAGAGAUUCCAGAUGGAUUACACCACCAGAAGCAUUAUGGAGGAUCUAUGGUUUUGACCUUAGUAAUUUAUUUCCUUCUGUUAGGCAGCUACAACUCCACCUCCCUAAUAUGCACAUGGUGUCAUUCCCGGCGGGCGCAAAUCUGAAUGAUGUCCUCUCCCAGGAAGGAGCUUCCAAGACAAUGCUAACCGAGUAUUUUGAAGCAAACAAGAAGUAUGAGUUGGCCCGGGGAAUUUUAUAUAAGGAUUUUCCGGCAUCUUUUGUUUGGAUCUCGGGUGGAAAGUAUUGGAAAAGGAGGGAUGAAUGCACACAGAUCGGGAGAAUUGUGUCUGCUCAUCCAGCCGAAGGGGAGACGUAUUAUCUUAGAGUGCUUCUAAACCAUGUCACAGGUGCUACAUCUUUCCAAGACCUAAGGACAGUGGAUGGUAUUGUUUUCCCGACAUUUCGUGAAGCUGCUGAAAGGAGGGGUCUUAUCGAGUCAGAUAAUACUAUUGACGAGUGUCUUAAUGAAGCUGAGGUUUUUCAGAUGCCAUCUUCCCUUCGAACGCUAUUUGCCACUAUAUUGGUCUUUUGUGAGCCCAGCAAUGUGCGUGGUCUAUGGGAUAGGCACUUGGAAGCUAUGAUAGAAGACUAUCGACUAAACCACAUGUCCCCUCAUGUAGUUGAGCAGAUGGCUUUGUUAGAUAUAAAAAGUAUGCUUGAAUCGAUGGGGAAGGACAUAUCAUCAUUACCUCUUCCAGAAAUUGUUGAGUCAUAUGAUGGCUCAAAUAACGAGGCUAGGGAGAUCACAGAGGAGUCGACCAUAGGGGUGAACCCAGAACACCUUGGCUUUUCAUCUUUCCUAAACCCAGAAGAGAGAUAUGCAUAUGAUGAGAUACUUGCAACAAUCAAUAGUGGCCAAGGAGGUGUGUUCUUUGUUGAUGGACCAGGAGGCACUGGAAAGACUUAUCUAUACAAACACUACUUGCAAAAGUACGUGGUGAGGGUAAGAUAGCUAUUGCAACAGCAAAAUCAGGCGUUGCUGCAUCCAUCUUGCCCGGCGGGAGGACUGCACACUCAAGGUUUAAAAUACCAUUGAACAUUGAAGAUGGUGGAGUUUGCAGUUUCACCAAGCAAAGUGGGACAGCUAAGCUUCUUAUGAGCGCCUCCCUCAUAAUUUGGGAUGAGGCCUCCAUGACAAGGAGACAGGCAGUCGAGGCCCUUGAUAAUAGCAUGAGGGACAUCAUGGCUCAACCUGACCUGCCAUUUGGUGGAAAGACUGUCGUGUUUGGGGGACAUUUCAGACAAGUGUUUCCUCUUGUUCGCAAGGGAACAAGGUCACAAAUAAUUGACGCGACGCUAUGCAAGUCUUACCUUUGGGAGAGUAUGAGACAUAUAAGACUUGUCCGUAAUAUGAGGGCUCAAAGUGAUCCAUGGUUUGUUGAUUAUCUUCUGCCUGUUGGGAGUGGCACCGAAGAUACUAUGGAUGAUGGUUACAUACGACUCCCAGAUGAGAUUUGUGUACCAUAUACCGGCGUUGCCUCUGAUAUUGACAAGCUUAUUGAAAGUGUUUUCCCGAUGCCGCUAGAUGAAAACCUCUUGGAUCCAAACUACAUAGCGUCCCGAGCAAUUCUAUCAACUCGGAAUGAGUACAUUGACAAAAUCAAUAUGAGGAUGAUUGAGAGAUUUCCUGGGGAGGAGAUGAUAUACUACAGUUUUGAUCGCGCAAAGGAUGAUCCACACAACUACUACCCUGCAGAAUUCUUGAAUUCAUUGACACCUAAUGGUCUACCUCCCCAUAUCCUCAAGUUGAAGAUUAAUUAUCCUAUUAUAUUGUUACGGAACAUUGACCCAGCGAGUGGGUUGUGCAAUGGGACGAGGCUGAUUGUCCGAGGGUUCAUGAGGAAUGCAAUUGAUGCUGAGAUUGUGCUGGGCCAGCAUGCUGGUAAGAGGGUGUUCCUUCCUCGAAUUCCUCUUUGCCCAUCAGAUGAUGAGAUGUUUCCAUUUAGGUUCAAGAGGAAGCAGUUUCCAGUCAGGCUUAGCUUUGCUAUGACCAUUAACAAAGCACAUGGACAAACUAUACAAAAUGUUGGUGUAUACCUCCCUGAACCGGUAUCUUCACACGAGCAACUCUAUGUUGCUCUUUCUAGAGCUACAUCAAGAAGUAAUAUGAAGAUUCUUACUGUCCCAGAUAAGCAAAAGGAAGGCCAAACCAACUCCAAUGCAAAUUGUACAAAGAACAUAG
rnacentral:lncRNA from 1 species